GAAGAAGAAGAAGAAGAAGAAAGAAGCCAAAGCAAGAAUAACAACAGGGAACGAAGUUUUAUUCCAACAAGGAAAGAAUGGAGAGAGAUGUGAGAGGCAAAAUCACAGGAAAAGUGAAGAAAAGAUGCUUAGCACUGGCAACAAGAAAAGGGAAAACCAAUUAAAAAAAAAUUAUAGAACCCAAAAAGAAAAAGAAAGAGAAGAACAAGGCUGCCUCCUUUUCUUGCUUUUUUACAACCUUCU
rnacentral:misc_RNA from 1 species